rnacentral:misc_RNA from 1 species
CGCACAUUGCGCCCGCCAGUAUUCUGGCGGGCAUGCCUGUUCGAGCGUCAUUUCAACCCUCAAGCCCCCGGGCUUGGUGUUGGGGAUCGGCACAAGGCGCCGGCACCUUCGGGAGCCGGGAGCCCGCCGUCCCUCAAAUUCAGUGGCGGUCUCGCCGUGAGCGCCCUAUGCGUAGUAGCUAACACCUCGCACUGGGACUCCUCCGUGACCACGCCGUAAAACCCCCGACUUUUUUCUGGUUGACCUCGAAUCAGGUAGGACUACCCGCUGAACUUAA